UCUCAUAGAUAAGCAAAGGAAGUGGUUUCUUGAAAUGGAAUCUACUCCUGGUGAAAAUCCUUUGAA
rnacentral:pre_miRNA from 1 species